rnacentral:lncRNA from 1 species
ACUCAUUGCACCCAAGCGAACAGGAAACUGUCAGGCAAAAAGAGUUCUGUGCUUCUCCCACCUCAGGCUAUAUCUACACCAGUUUCCUGGAGGUGAAAGAUUCAGUAUAUCCCAUUACUGAUAAUUUCACCCACCUCGUUUUCCUGAACUGAACUCAUUCCAAACUGCAGUUUGAAAUAACCUCAAUGUCAUCUCAAAAAAAGGGGUCCCUGAGCUGCAUCUUUAUAUAUAAAGCAGGUGUGGCUCCUUCCACACAUUUUGACAUGAUGGACUAGCUCUGUAACUCCCAUCACUGCAAAUGAGAGAUUUUUACUUUCAAGAAGUUACAGUAUGUGUGCCAAUAUUACUUGAUUACAGUCCCUAUAUGCCUUGGACAGCUACUUAAUGUUUUGGUUUCCCUUACAUUGCGCUAGAUAUUCUUUGGCUAGCCUCAGUUGAUUCUCUAAUUCCUG